AGAUUAGUUAGUUACAGAGUUUUGACACACAGGUUCUCCAAGGCCCCACCAGAGCAGCUAGAUACAGAGUGUCGAUUGGUGCAUUCGCAAACCUUGAGCUAAACACAGGGUGCUGAUUGGUGUUUUAUUCUUCCCAAUGACUCUAUCCAUUGUGAGAGAGAACUGUACCAAUCGGCCAGAGCGUGGAAGGACCAUAAGGCAUACAUUGACAAAGAGAUUGAAGCUCUGCAAGAUAAAAUUAAGAAUUUAAGAGAAGUGAGAGGACAUCUGAAGAGAAGGAAGCCUGAGGAAUGUAGCUGCAGUAAACAAAGCUAUUACAAUAAAGAGAAAGGUGUAAAAAAGCAAGAGAAAUUAAAGAGCCAUCUUCACCCAUUCAAGGAGGCUGCUCAGGAAGUAGAUAGCAAACUGCAACUUUUCAAGGAGAACAACCGUAGGAGGAAGAAGGAGAGGAAGGAGAAGAGACGGCAGAGGAAGGGGGAAGAGUGCAGCCUGCCUGGCCUCACUUGCUUCACGCAUGACAACAACCACUGGCAGACAGCCCCGUUCUGGAACCUGGGAUCUUUCUGUGCUUGCACGAGUUCUAACAAUAACACCUACUGGUGUUUGCGUACAGUUAAUGAGACGCAUAAUUUUCUUUUCUGUGAGUUUGCUACUGGCUUUUUGGAGUAUUUUGAUAUGAAUACAGAUCCUUAUCAGCUCACAAAUACAGUGCACACGGUAGAACGAGGCAUUUUGAAUCAGCUACACGUACAACUAAUGGAGCUCAGAAGCUGUCAAGGAUAUAAGCAGUGCAACCCAAGACCUAAGAAUCUUGAUGUUGGUCUAUUCUAUUAGUAAACCUUGAUUCCUGAUAGAAGCAUCUGUUGGAAGAUGACACGAAAGCGUUAGGUAUUUGUUUGUUAUUGCUGUCAACAGUCUGAAGAUAUACUCUGAGUAAACCAGGAUAUUCUCUUUUUUUAAGAGAACUUUGAUGGAAAGACACAAUGCUCUAUUUCUGCUGUCCCAGUUUGGAGUUCCCCCAGUUGGAUCCCUGCCUAUGACACUGAAUUAGAUUUCUUUUGCCAGUAUUUUUCGUCUGAAACUAGAGAUAUUGGAGCAGUUCAUUAACUUGGGAUCUAAAAAUAUAAGAGGAUCUGAAUGGAAUCAGCCAGAUGUUCCUUCCCAGCUAUGUGUGUUAAACUGGCUUAUUUCUCCUUUGUUUCAUGGAGAUGCAGUUCUUUUCAGUGUCCGCCCCAGCUCUUUUCUGGUUAAUGAAAAUACUCAUUUCCUCCUCAUGAUGUCUGCAGAAAUGUAAAUACCAGCUGUCCAUACAAGGAAGGAGGAAGAACUAAAGCUGGCAAGGGCAUGGACCUUGGCAUGGCAUGCCAACUCCAGAAGGGUGAAGAGCUGGACUCACAGGCACUUGGGUGCAGUUUGCAGGAGCUUUUUGUGGUGCCGCUGGGUUUUCUCUGUGAGUCUGGUGCAGAGCCAGUGUCAUCAACAGUAAAAGUGGGCAGCUUUCUGGGUCACAUGCCUUGAAAGGGGUAGGGAUUCCCAUCCCAGAAUGAUCAAUAUCACCACCUGUCAUCUCCUUUCCACUGCAGGGUCACAAAGGCUUUUGAGUUCUGGGAGUCCCCUAAGAAAAUAUAAAUCCUCAGUUCUCAAUCAACACCUCUCAAUUAACACUUAGUGGAAUCAGUUGUCAGUCAAGAGCAGACUGUACUUGCAAAAUAGGUCUUUUGGUCACUGACCCCACUCGGCUCAAAUCUUUUCAAAUAUCCUGCUUAUCUGUUGACCUUUUCCUCAAAUCUUACAAAAAAAAGAGAGAGAGAGAGGGAGGGAGGGAGAGAGAGAGAGAGGAAGGAAGAAAG
rnacentral:lncRNA from 1 species